rnacentral:rRNA from 1 species
GAUGAACGCUGGCGGCGUGCUUAACACAUGCAAGUCGAACGGUGAAGGCGGAGCUUGCUCUGCUGGAUCAGUGGCGAACGGGUGAGUAACACGUGAGCAAUCUGCCCCUGACUCUGGGAUAAGCGCUGGAAACGGCGUCUAAUACUGGAUACGAGCUGCGAAGGCAUCUUCAGCAGCUGGAAAGAACUUCGGUCAGGGAUGAGCUGGCGGCCUAUCAGCUUGUUGGUGAGGUAACGGCUCACCAAGGCGUCGACGGGUAGCCGGCCUGAGAGGGUGACCGGCCACACUGGGACUGAGACACGGCACAGACUCCUACCGGAGGCAACAGUGGGGAAUAGUGCACAAUGGGCGAAAGCCUGAUGCAGCAACGCCGCGUGGGGGACGACGGCCUUCGGGUUGUAAACCUCUUUUAGCAGGGAAGAAGCGAAAGUGACGGUACCUGCAGAAAAAGCGCCGGCUAACUACGUG